UACAGAGGUGGCAAGCGUUGUUCGGAUUUACUGGGCGUAAAGGGUGCGUAGGUGGCUGCUUAUGUCGGGUGUGAAAUCCCACGGCUCAACCGUGGAAUGGCGCCCGAAACUGAGCGGCUAGAGUGCAGGAUGGGAGAGCGGAAUUCUUGGUGUAGCGGUGAAAUGCGUUGAUAUCAAGAAGAACACCGGUGGCGAAGGCGGCUCUCUGGAAUGCAACUGACACUGAGGCACGAAAGAUGGGGGAGCAAACAGG
rnacentral:rRNA from 1 species